GCGAAAGACAGGCAAAGAGAAGCUCUCCCUGAGCCAGUCACCCACCUGUUCCUGUGUCCUCUCCCACUCCGGGCUGUGUUUCCUUUCGACACUGGAGUCCAGACUUUUCCAUCAGGUGCCUGAGCAGGUUGUCUGAACUGAGCAGGUGGGGAGCCUGUAUCUCCCCAUCUUCGCUCAGCUCCUUCCCACGCUGAUGCCAUCACUUCCUUUUGUCUCCUCCGCAGUCAGACUGGUUCUUCAGUGACAACGAGGACAAGGGAGAGAGAACCCCUGUGGACGACAAGGAGCCCCAGUCAGUGCCAAACAUCGAGUACCUCCUGCCUAACAUUGGCAGGACAGUGCCCCCUGGGGACCCAGGUUCAGACGCCUGGCCAGACGCCCAGCUUCCCCGCUUCUGUCCCUGUGGGUCCCCCCUGGACUGGGUGGGCUGUGGUGGGGGCUUCUGCCUCUCUGGGGAGGCCCGGCCUGUGUCGCGCCCCCUCCUCAUCUGUGCAGCCGCCCCACCCCUGGGCCGGGCAGGUGCCUUGUUCGCCCUCCUUCACUGGUCUCUUUGCCGAGCCUUUGAUUUCUCAUGGGCUUUGUGUCCUGGGCACAUUCCUCUUUUUAAUUUUUCUUUCUUUUCUCCUCGCACCCCUCUACCCGCCUCCCUCUUCUCCCUGUGCUCUGCCCCCGUCCCCUGGAUUCUGCCCCUUCUCUUCUCCCCCUUCCCUCCUCCAGCGGACCUGUUGGAGAUUUAAAGGGUACAGUGUGGCAUCGCGGCCGCGGUCACUAACAGUGGCGGGUGAUUAGAAGAAGGCUGGGCAGGCAGAACCAUCCGGGGCUCUGAGGACCUGGCCCUGAUGCACUAGUCACCCCUGCUUGAUAACAACGCACCCCGACCCCACUCCUGGCGAAAAACCUUUUCUCAGGAGGGAGGCGCUUGCCAAGUCCGAUCCCCCUUGCCAGGAAGUCUGGGCACUGCCUGGCUGUCCUCCCACUGUCCCCCACACUCUGUGGCUUUCUUCUGUCCCAAGCUCGGCCACUUCGGGCUGGUAGUGGGACCCGGCCUUUUCAGAUACCAGGGAUGUUCCCGCAGAGGCCUCCGUACACCAGGAGCUCCUGCCUCAGCCGCCUCCAAGUGCUGGUUCUUCCUGCUUCCGAAACCAGAGCCCCUGGGCCCUCAGCCCCUAGGUCCUGCUCCCAGGCCUCUGGCCCUAUUAGAGGGGAGUAGCCCAAGGACCAAAGAACAGCCAGUCCCUGCUUGUCUCCAGCCACUAACUCCUCCCACUCAGUGGGUGACCCGCCCUUAGUAUUCUGAUCGCUUCUGUCUGUGACAGAGGCAUGCUGCAGCACCCUGAGUUUGCAAGAGGCAGUAUGGGGAGAGGGCCAAAGGACAACAGGGAGUGUAGAUGACAGAAAGGAGCCCCCCGUCUCUUCUAAUCACCUGCUGCCACUCUCCUGCCUGCCCCGUGUGUGUUGCUGUGUGGUCAGUCCAUCUGCUCUUCUCACCGUGGGCGGGGGCAGGGGCGGGGGCAGAGGGCUGGGUGGUGGUAGCUGGGGAGGAGGCAUCUAACUUGCUUGCCCGAGAGUGUGGAUUAACCGCACCUGCCCGCUGCCCCAUCAGACCCCAGGAGAUCCUCGGGUCGGCCUCCCCAGUCCUGGAGACAACACUGCCAGGACUUGUCUCUGGUUCUUCCGGUUCUUUCUGUACCCCAACAAUAUUAAGAGAGUGGGAGCCACCUCUCUUCAUAACUCUGAUUAAAAACAGAGGCCUACGGAGUUUCCGUUGUGGCUCAGCAGGUUAAGAAUCCAACUAGAAUCCAUGAGGAUGUGGGUUCGAUCCCUGGCCUUGUUUAGGGGGUCAAGGAUCCGGCAUUGCUGCAAGCUGUGGCAUAGGUCACAGAUGCAGCUCAGAUCUGGCACUGCUAUGGCUGCCAGUGUAGGCUGGUGGCUGCAGCUCUGAUUCAACCCCUAGCCUGGGAACCUCUAUAUAUAAAAAGAAAAACAAGCAAGAAACAAACCAGUAGAGGUCUUUCCCCAUAAGAGCAGACUGACCCUGAUUCUGGAGGUUGAACCUCUCCAGGCUGUAACCACCAACGCUCUCUACCUCCUGCCCCACCCACUCCCUGUCUGUCCCUGUAUGCCAUCCUUCACCUGGGCCCUCUGCCCUCUCACGCCCUGGAAGUGGGGGAAUGGGGGUGGAUAUUGGGCACCCACUUGUCUUUUCACUGUGUGGUCUCCAUUUCUCCAGAGCACCUGUGGUUUGCUGUGUUUUGUUAUUGUGGUUUCCAUGGACUGCAUCUGAUAUUUGGCAUUUUUCUCUCCAGUGCUUCAGAGUAACAGGGACAGGAGGGGAGGGGAGAGAAACUAGGCCAAAGCAAAGCCCCCACCUUGUCCUUAAUCCUGGGCCAAUGAGGGUCCGUGGCCAGCAGCCUGACGUCACUUCUUGUCUCAAAAGGAAGUGGCGAUGGACAUCCUUCUCUGCUCCGUCCCUGUCCCACAGGAAAUGCCCUCAGAGGGCCAUCACUCUCCCAGGACCUGGGGCAAUCUCAGGUGUCUGAACUCCCUGGUUUCUGAAGCCUUUGAGGAGAGGGAAUUGUGUUCACAAGACUCAGCCUUCCCUCGCCCAAUCCAACUUUAAUUUUUCUUUCAUUUCUUACCAACAGAUUCCACCACCUGUAGUUCAGCCAAGUCCAAGGUAAGUGCCAUGGCAACUUGGAAAGUUAUACCCUUGUACGAGCCGGCCCACUUUGCUUUUUGGUCAAGGGAAUUGGGAGAAUGUGAUUGGCUCCUUGAGGAAGACUGAUAGUCACGGGGAAGGAAGGUAGGAAAUACCGCCUUGGACACGAGGUAGACUGAGAAGUCGCUGACCUUGGCAAUGCUUGGGGAGGUAGCUGGUGUGGUAGAAGAUCUAGUUUGGGAGUUAGGUGGCCUGGAGGCAGUGUCAUCCAGUGGUUAGAAGUACAGAAAGGAGGAGUUCCCAUCGUGGUGCAGCAGAAAUGAAUCCAACCAUGAGGUUGUGGGUUUGAUCUCUGGCCUUGCUCAGUGGGUUAAGGAUCUGGCGUUGCCAUGAGCUGUGGUGUAGGUAAUAGAUGCACAUCAUAUCCUGCGUCACUGUGGCUGUGGUGUAGGCUGGCAGCUGCAGCUCUGAUUAGACCCUUAGCCUGGGAACCUCUAUAUGCCAUGGGUGCAGCCCUGAG
ensembl:lncRNA